UCCCUUAUAGGGCCAUAGGAAGCCAUGGCAUGUUUCAACAAGGAGAAAGAAAUAUCUAAUCUGCGUUUUAGAAAGAUGAUCAUUUGUGGUGAAAGGUGAACCUUGUGAACACAUUUAAUGGAAUAAAACAUUUUGUGAGAGCUGUAGGCAGUUGUGAUUGCUCGAGUGCCUCUUCUGCAUCAUGGAACCAGGAUUGAAGAGAAGAGCUCAGCCCCAAAGGAGAGGAACAGAAUUGCUUCUGGAAGCACCAUGAGAGCUUCCACUCUCCGUGAGAAAAGAAUAGCAGAGGAGGAAACGGUGGCCCUGGAAAGAGCUUGCUGUCUGAGAGGCAAAGGAGGCUGGCGGACACAGAGCUAAGAAAGAUUCCAGCCACACGUGAGCGCCUGGAGAAUCCAACCGUGUGGAUUUCCUGAUGGCCAAGUGAAGUACAUCUUUGUCUUUUGAAACAGUCCAGUUUUACAGGAAAGAAUUAAAAAAUGAGGAUCAUAUUAGCACUACACUAAUUAUGAACUGGAAUGUGUCAGCCAAGAAUGAAUUACAAGCUGGCCAGAGCCUGCAAACUCUAGCUGGAUAAAGUUCAGACAUGCAGCUGUGAGCCCUCCUGGAAGCUGGCCACCAUUUAUUACGGUGGCGCCUGGCAACAGGCUCGUCGUUAAGGGUCUGUCAGCCUUUCCAUUAGAAGCUCCAUCUUUUCAGGAUUCUCCAGCUCUCCCCUUUUAAAUCAC
rnacentral:lncRNA from 1 species